rnacentral:lncRNA from 1 species
UUGUAUGUACGUAGACUACCCAUUUACUGCUUCUACGUAUAUGCAUGUAGCCUACCCAUUUAUUUCUUCUACAAGUACGUAUGUAUCUUUUACUGCUGUUGUCACACUACUGUGAUAAUAUACCUCUGUGGCUCUGACCCACUUACACACACACUGCUGCUUCCACGUGCAUAUGUAUUGGCCCUGGUCAAUCUGGUAUCAGAGCCAUUUUUCAUGCUGGGGAAGAGAUCUAUCAAUUUUCUUAGCCGUAU